UGGUUGUAAUAUCUUUUAUAUAUUUUUCUUCUGGAAAGCAUUAUGAAUGAAGUUUCAUUCAAGCAUAAAUUUGUCCUUAAAUGUAUAGUAUGAAGGGCCGGAAUUAUUUUUUUUAUGUUGCUCAAAAUUAGGGAAAUUUUUCUGCGAAAUCGUCAGGUAUCGUGAAAAACCCCAAAAUUCACCAAGAAAAGCCAUGGGACCAUAUAUAUUUGAGUGCGGUAAAAUCGCAAAUAGAUAUCGAGCUUCAAUUAGACAACAGCAGUUUUUCCAUAAUUAGUUUAUUAAAAGCGCCUUUUAAGGAGAUAAUUGCUAAAAAUAGCAUUGCCGGCAAUGGGGC
rnacentral:lncRNA from 1 species